UGACUUCUCCAUUUAUGUCCAAUGGUAA
rnacentral:piRNA from 1 species